UACGUAGGGUGCGAGCGUUGUCCGGAAUUAUUGGGCGUAAAGAGCUCGUAGGCGGUUUGUUGCGUCGGCCGUGAAAACCUGCAGCUUAACUGUGGGCCUGCGGCCGAUACGGGCAGACUUGAGUUCGGUAGGGGAGACUGGAAUUCCUGGUGUAGCGGUGAAAUGCGCAGAUAUCAGGAGGAACACCAGCGGCGAAGGCGGCGCGCUGGGCCGGAACUGACGCUGAGGAGCGAAAGCGUGGGUAGCAAACAGG
rnacentral:rRNA from 1 species